rnacentral:rRNA from 1 species
AGGCACCUGCACAGGUGCUGCAUGGCUGUCGUCAGCUCGUGUCGUGAGAUGUUGGGUUAAGUCCCGCAACGAGCGCAACCCUUAUCCCCAGUUGCCAUCAGGUAAAGCUGGGAACUCUGGGGAGACUGCCGGUGAUAAACCGGAGGAAGGCGGGGAUGACGUCAAGUCCUCAUGGCCCUUACAUCCCGGGCUACACACGUGCUACAAUGGCAGGUACAGAGGGCUGCGAAGCCGCGAGGUGGAGACGAAUCCCAGAAAACCUGUCUCAGUCCGGAUUGAAGUCUGCAACUCGACUUCAUGAAGGCGGAAUCGCUAGUAACCGCGAAUCAGCAGGUCGCGGUGAAUACGUUCCCGGGCCUU